rnacentral:rRNA from 1 species
AUUGAACGCUGGCGGCAUGCUUUACACAUGCAAGUCGAACGGUAACAGGUUAAGCUGACGAGUGGCGAACGGGUGAGUAAUGCAUCGGAACGUGCCCGGUCGUGGGGGAUAACGCAGCGAAAGCUGCGCUAAUACCGCAUACGAUCUGAGGAUGAAAGCGGGGGACCGUAAGGCCUCGCGCGAUCGGAGCGGCCGAUGUCAGAUUAGGUAGUUGGUGGGGUAAAGGCUCACCAAGCCAACGAUCUGUAGCUGGUCUGAGAGGACGACCAGCCACACUGGGACUGAGACACGGCCCAGACUCCUACGGGAGGCAGCAGUGGGGAAUUUUGGACAAUGGGCGAAAGCCUGAUCCAGCAAUGCCGCGUGCAGGAAGAAGGCCUUCGGGUUGUAAACUGCUUUUGUACGGAGCGAAAGGUCUCCUCUAAUACAGGGGGCUCAUGACGGUACCGUAAGAAUAAGCACCGGCUAACUACGUGCCAGCCGCCGCCGUAA